rnacentral:rRNA from 1 species
GACGAACGCUGGCGGCGUGCUUAACACAUGCAAGUCGAACGAAGAGCGAUGGAAGCUUGCUUCUAUCAAUCUUAGUGGCGAACGGGUGAGUAACGCGUAAUCAACCUGCCCUUCAGAGGGGGACAACAGUUGGAAACGACUGCUAAUACCGCAUACGAGCUAAUCUCGGCAUCGAGGAUAGAUGAAAGGUGGCCUCUACAUGUAAGCUCUCACUGAAGGAGGGGAUUGCGUCUGAUUAGCUAGUUGGAGGGGUAACGGCCCACCAAGGCGAUGAUCAGUAGCCGGUCUGAGAGGAUGAACGGCCACAUUGGGACUGAGACACGGCCCAGACUCCUACGGGAGGCAGCAGUGGGGAAUCUUCCGCAAUGGACGAAAGUCUGACGGAGCAACGCCGCGUGAGUGAUGACGGCCUUCGGGUUGUAAAGCUCUGUUAAUCGGGACGAAAGGCCUUCUUGCGAAUAGUGAGAAGGAUUGACGGUACCGGAAUAGAAAGCCACGGCUAACUACGUG